AGGGAAUGUGAAUUGAAGAACAUGUCUAAAAUAAUCCGUGGAACCAUUCUAGCUGCAGCUGUUGGCAGUGCGACUGUCUUUGCAAUUGGAGAGGCUAAAGUGCUUUGGAAUGAGAAUCAAAUAACUGAGAAAUUGAGCUAUUCGUUUGAGGAAUCAGAUCGACGCUUCGGGAAUGUCCUCACUCAGGGUGUUAAUGUAAGUGGAUUGGUGACCUCUGCUAAGAAAUCCUGGAAUACAGGAAUAAUCACAUCUUGUCAAUAUUUACAAGAGAAUUGUGAUAUUAAAGUUCUUGGUCGAUUAGUUUCAAGUAAGUCAAAAGAUGCAUACAACAGCUUGAUUGGAACUACAAGUUCACCUGAUGAGUCACAUGAUGAGUCACAUGAUGAGUCAAACUCUUCUACAGAUAGCCCUUCAGAAGAUAACUCAUGAUUGGUAUCAUGUCGCGAUUUUAUGUAGCUUCUUUAUGGGCUUUGAAUAGUUUAAUUUAUUACAACGGAUGUAGAAAAGUUACUGGACAUUACUUCGGGAAAUAGGAAUUAUAUUUGUGCUAUUUUAUGAUACUUAAACUCAGCUAGAAUUAAUUUAUUUGCAUCAUCUACAUUCAUAACUAUUUUGCCAAUAUGAAAUGUGCAUGCAUUUAUUUUUUUGGGGUCAUUUGCUCCUUCUAUCUCAUUUUCUAUCUCAUGUUGACUAUCUUUAUACAAUAACGUUGUCUGAAACUCGAUUGUAAAGUUUGUGUUGAUCACUCAUAGUUGGAAAAAAUGUUGUCUGAAAAAUUAUGCGAUUUCAAUAAAGUUUUAUAUUUCCUUGUUUUGAGUAUGU